rnacentral:tRNA from 1 species
GGAGAGAUGCCGGAGUGGUUAAACGGAGCAAUUUCGAAAAUUGUUAAGGUUUAAAUUCUUUUCAAGGGUUCGAAUCCCUUUCUCUCCU